UAGGGAAUCUUCCGCAAUGGACGCAAGUCUGACGGAGCAACGCCGCGUGAGUGAAGAAGGAUUUCGGUUCGUAAAACUCUGUUGUUAGAGAAGAACAGCGCAUAGAGUAACUGUUAUGCGUGUGACGGUAUCUAACCAGAAAGCCACGGCUAACUACGUGCCAGCAGCCGCGGUAAUACGUAGGUGGCAAGCGUUGUCCGGAUUUAUUGGGCGUAAAGCGAGCGCAGGCGGUCAAUUAAGUCUGAUGUGAAAGGCAGUGGCUCAACCAUUGUAGGCUUUGGAAACUGUUUAACGUGAGUGCAGAAGGGGAGAGUGGAAUUCCAUGUGUAGCGAUGAAAUGCGUAGAUAUAUGGAGGAACACCGGUGGCGAAAGCGGCUCCCUGGUCUGUAACUGACGCUGAGGCUCGAAAGCGUGGGGAGCGAACAGG
rnacentral:rRNA from 1 species